ACAUGCAGUCGAGCGGAGCGAGGGUGCUUGCACCUUAGCUUAGCGGCGGACGGGUGAGUCAUUCUUAGGAAUCUGCCUAUUAGUGGGGGACAACAUUCCGAAAGGAAUGCUAAUACCGCAUACGCCCUACGGGGGAAAGCAGGGGAUCUUCGGACCUUGCGCUAAUAGAUGAGCCUAAGUCAGAUUAGCUAGUUGGUGGGGUAAAGGCCUACCAAGGCGACGAUCUGUAGCGGGUCUGAGAGGAUGAUCCGCCACACUGGGACUGAGACACGGCCCAGACUCCUACGGGAGGCAGCAGUGGGGGAUAUUGGACAAUGGGCGGAAGCCUGAUCCAGCCAUGCCGCGUGUGUGAAGAAGGCCUUUUGGUUGUAAAGCACUUUAAGCGAGGAGGAGGCUACCGAGAUUAAUACUCUUGGAUAGUGGACGUUACUCGCAGAAUAAGCACCGGCUAACUCUGUGCCAGCAGCCGCGGUAAUACAGAGGGUGCGAGCGUUAAUCGGAUUUACUGGGCGUAAAGCGUGCGUAGGCGGCUUUUUAAGUCGGAUGUGAAAUCCCUGAGCUUAACUUAGGAAUUGCAUUCGAUACUGGGAAGCUAGAGUAUGGGAGAGGAUGGUAGAAUUCCAGGUGUAGCGGUGAAAUGCGUAGAGAUCUGGAAGGAUACCGAUGGCGAAGGCAGCCAUCUGGCCUAAUACUGACGCUGAAGUACGAAAGCAUGGGGAAGCAACAGGAUAGAUACCCUGGAAGUCCCGCCGUAAACGAAGUCCACAU
rnacentral:rRNA from 1 species